rnacentral:rRNA from 1 species
GACGAACGCUGGCGGCGUGCUUAACACAUGCAAGUCGAACGGAAAGGCCCUGCUUUUGUGGGGUGCUCGAGUGGCGAACGGGUGAGUAACACGUGAGUAACCUGCCCUUGACUUUGGGAUAACUUCAGGAAACUGGGGCUAAUACCGGAUAGGAGCUCCUGCUGCAUGGUGGGGGUUGGAAAGUUUCGGCGGUUGGGGAUGGACUCGCGGCUUAUCAGCUUGUUGGUGGGGUAGUGGCUUACCAAGGCUUUGACGGGUAGCCGGCCUGAGGGGGUGACCGGCCACCUUGGUCCUGCGAGACGCACCAGACUCCUACGGGACGCAGCAGUGGGGAAUAUUGCGCAGUGGGCGGAAGCCUGAUGCAGCAACGCCGCGUGCGGGAUGCCGGCCUACUGGUUGUAAACCGCUUUCGCAUGUGACGAAGCGUGAGUGACGGUAAUGGGUAAAGAAGCACCGGCUAACUACGUG